AUGUUGUUAUACAUAUUUUCUCACAAGCAUUUUUUAGAAUACACACUUCUUGACUUGAUUUUGGAAAUUUUGUGUAUGAGUACUUCAUUCGGAGCAACCUAAUAAUAGUUGAGAGAUUUACAUCACAAAGAAAAUGGCUCCUCGUAUUAAGACGACAACAUUCCAAUGCUUGAAAUGUUUUAGGAGAUUCUUAAAUCGUCAGCAUUUUGCGUCACAUUUACUAAGGCACCGAGAUGAAAACAAGAGAAAAUUGUGUCAAUAUUGUACCAUGUCAUUCAGGUCGUCUAAAUUGUUAGAAGUACAUAUGAAUACUUAUCAUAGAUGUGAAUAUUGUGACUUCUCAGCCAACAUUUUUGAUCUUAUAGAGCACAAUGAAGCUCAUAAAAGAGGAGUUAUAAAAUCCAUGAAAUUUGAUCAAAGAGGAAGAGGGCUACGACUGAAUGCUUUCCCUUUCUCUGAAAUUGAAGCCUUUAAAGGCUUUAUGAAAACUUACAGAUUUAGAAAUACACAUGAGGAUAAUAAUAUUAUUUCUGUUAGAGAUUUUUUUAAUAGAUUUAAGUUUAAAAUUAAUCAGAUUCUAUUUCACAAUGUUUCAAUUUAUAAUAGCAUUAAGUUUCAAAUAACGCUUUUGUGUAAAUUUAAACGUAUGCAUCCAAGCGUGGAUGAAGAAGAGGUAGAAUUCAUGGAAACAACAGAACAAUAUUUUAAUUCUUCUCUU